rnacentral:rRNA from 1 species
AUUGAACGCUGGCGGCAUACCUUACACAUGCAAGUCGAACGGCAGCACGGGAGCAAUCCUGGUGGCGAGUGGCGAACGGGUGAGUAAAGUAUCGGAACGUGCCCAGUCGUGGGGGGUAACGUAGCGAAAGUUACGCUAAUACCGCAUACGAUCUAUGGAUGAAAGCGGGGGAUCGCAAGACCUAGCGCGAUUGGAGCGGCCGAGAUCAGAUUAGGUAGUUGGUGGGGUAAAGGCUCACCAAGCCGACGAUCUGUAGUUGGUCUGAGAGGACGACCAGCCACACUGGGACUGAGACACGGCCCAGACUCCUACGGGAGGCAGCAGUGGGGAAUUUUGGACAAUGGGCGAAAGCCUGAUCCAGCCAUGCCGCGUGCAGGAUGAAGGCCUUCGGGUUGUAAACUGCUUUUGUACGGAACGAAAAGGUUUGGCCUAAUAAGCUGAGCUCAUGACGGUACCGUAAGAAUAAGCACCGGCUAACUACGUGCCAGCCGCCGCAGUAA